UAACGAGCGCAACCCCUACUCAUUAGUUGCCAUCAGGUCAAGCUGGGGACGUCUAAUGAAACUGCCUACGCAAGUAGUGAGGAAGGUGGGGAGUGACGUCAAAUCAGCACGGCCCUUACGUCCAGGGCGUACACACGUGCUACAAUGGCCGGUACAAAGGGCAGCUACCUGGUGACAGGAUGCUAAUCUCAAAAGCCGGUCUCAGUUCGGAUCGGAGUCUGCAACCCGACUCCAUGAAGCUGGAAUCGCUAGUAAUCGCGCAUCAGCCAUGGCGCGGUGAAUACGUUCCCGGGCCUU
rnacentral:rRNA from 1 species